rnacentral:rRNA from 1 species
UACGAAGGGGGCUAGCGUUGCUCGGAAUCACUGGGCGUAAAGCGCACGUAGGCGGCUUGUUAAGUCAGGGGUGAAAUCCUGGAGCUCAACUCCAGAACUGCCUUUGAUACUGGCGAUCUCGAGUCCGGGAGAGGUGAGUGGAACUGCGAGUGUAGAGGUGAAAUUCGUAGAUAUUCGCAAGAACACCAGUGGCGAAGGCGGCUCUCUGGCCCGGUACUGACGCUGAGGUGCGAAAGCGUGGGGAGCAAACAGG